GGUACAUCUGCCCCUCCUGUUAUGCUACUCCCAAUUCCUGUGGAAAAAUGAGACGAUUUUUGCUUUCUUCCUUGGAGAAUCCUUUAACCACGAGGAGGUUAUGGAGCAGGCAUUCAUCCAAACCAAGCCAUUUCAGGUUCAGGCCAGUUGGAGUAGCUGAAUACAGACACAGAGAUGCUACUUAAGGACAAGAUGAAGUAAUGACCCCACAACCAAGGGCACCACUGCAGCUUCAGGCCCAGAAAGUGCCAACAGCAGGGAAUGGAGGAGAGCAAACUGGGAGGAUGGGACUGCAGAACCUGGAGCUGGAAUUGGACAAUUAACCCCAAUAUGGAAAUGGACCAAAACUUAUAAAAGUGCGAAAACUCGUGACCCAGGGUCCAUCUUGGGUGUAGCCACAGCCAGGCUCUUGUGCUGCCCAAGGUGU